rnacentral:rRNA from 1 species
ACGCACGCUGGCGGCGUGCCUAAUCCAUGCAAGUUGAGCGCUGAAGGUUGGUACUUGUACCAACUGGAUGAGCAGCGAACGGGUGAGUACCGCGUGGGGAAUCUGCCUUUGAGCGGGGGACAACAUUUGGAAACGAAUGCUAAUACCGCAUAAAAACUUUAAACACAAGUUUUAAGUUUGAAAGAUGCAAUUGCAUCACUCAAAGAUGAUCCCGCGUUGUAUUAGCUAGUUGGUGAGGUAAAGGCUCACCAAGGCGAUGAUACAUAGCCGACCUGAGAGGGUGAUCGGCCACAUUGGGACUGAGACACGGCCCAAACGCCUACGGGAGGCAGCAGUAGGGAAUCUUCGGCAAUGGACGAAAGUCUGACCGAGCAACGCCGCGUGAGUGAAGAAGGUUUUCGGAUCGUAAAACUCUGUUGGUAGAGAAGAACGUUGGUGAGAGUGGAAAGCUCAUCAAGUGACGGUAACUACCCAGAAAGGGACGGCUAACUACGUG